CCACGCCGUAAACUAUGAUUACUCAGAGUAUGCGAUAUACAGUAUGCUCUCAAGCGAAAGCAUUAAGUAAUCCACCUGGGGAGUACGUCGGCAACGAUGAAACUCAAAGGAAUUGACGGGGGCCCGCACAAGCGGAGGAACAUGUGGUUUAAUUCGAUGAUACGCGAGGAACCUUACCUGGGAUUGAAAUGUAUAGGCUGCUAGAUGGAAACAUUUGGUAUUCUCUUCGGAGACUUAUAUGUAGGUGCUGCAUGGUUGU
rnacentral:rRNA from 1 species